UAGUAAUGACGUUCGACUAAAAACGGCACGUCCUCAAAAAAGACCUUGUCUUUUUCUGCGAUGUACUUUCGUAGAAGUAGUUCUAGUGUGCCAACGUCGAACUGACCUGCGUCCUCGAAAA
rnacentral:sRNA from 1 species